rnacentral:piRNA from 1 species
UAGUCGUACAGUCCUACAGUA